UCCCUGGUGGACUAGUGGUUAGGCCACAGCGCUCUCACUGCUGCAACCUGGGUUCAAUUCCUGGCCAGGGAA
rnacentral:tRNA from 1 species